rnacentral:lncRNA from 1 species
GGUGAAAGCAAUUCACCUGUGCAAUGGGAAGGGGUGGAACCAGGUUGCACCCCUCCCUGAGCCUCAUUUAAGGGCUUGCUGGCAUACUGGAAAGUUCUCUGCCUGGAGAUUCUGCCUUCUGGAGAAUUUGGUGGGCCCUGCUCUUUGGGAUGGGAGACAACAAUUGCUGUUUCCAUCUUGCCUAAAGGUUUCUGGUCUGGAAGUGGAGUACUGUCUGUGUUGAAGACUGACUCAAGUCCUGCUGCCAAUGAGAAUGACUGGAAGUGCAGUCACCCAUACUUCAAACGCUUGGCUGAAGUUUUGAUAGAUUCUGGAUGUAUUUAUUCUUUGAAUAAGAACUUCUGUGGUAUUGUUACCUUUGUGUUAAUUUCUCCUGUGCUCUAGGCAUGAAACUCUUCCUUUUUUUUUCCCAAAUGUAGAAUUUGUCAACUGCAAUAAAGGGAGAUGCUUUUAUAUAUGAUAGAUGUCAUGACUUUUUUCCAUGUGACAGCAGUACUCCAAAUCUAAAAGCAUAUCUCCCAUGAGCCAAAUGAGGUCUCUGUGUUUAUCAGUAAUAAACGGUAUGCUUAUAGCAUGGUCUAAUAUAGAAGUAUAAAGUUGUUUUGUGUUCUGGAAUCAGAUGGGUUUUGACAGGAUUAAGCUGUAAGCUUACACACAAGAGUGCACUAACUGCUGUUAUCUUGUGCAGCUAUGAUUGCAAGAAUCUGAAUUUACGCAUUUCAAGCAAGUUUGAUGUCUGCAGCUGCACUUCAUUAAGCAGUGCAUGUUUAGGCCACCAAGGGUAUCCCUUGUCUCUAAGUAAAAAGCUGGAAUUCUGUUCAUUUUAAUAACAGGUACGGCACAAGUGUCAAUUAUGCUAUUCUGAGGUAGAGAAGUCACAGUUUUGGGAAGAGAAAUUGCAUUUCAUUGCUUGCUUUGAGUGAAUGAAUAAGCAACAUCUUGUUCUAUGGGCUCAGUGUCAUGGGACAAAAGGAAUUAAACUAGUGGCUGAUCUAAAAAUGCACCUAGGACAAUUUGGAUUCAAAAGAUACUGUUCUGAGGCAG